rnacentral:lncRNA from 1 species
GCACUAAACUGUUGUGCUUUUGCUUAACCAAUCAAGACUAUAAAAAUGAUAUUUUGGGAUUUUUCAAUAUAAAGUGCAGAAAAAUAAACAUGAAUGCAAUUUGAUCAAUUGAGGUUAAACACAAAACAAUGGAUGAAUGGAUGUUGUUGAGUACUAACAAUUUCAUCUAUUCCACUCUCUCUUACAUACUACCCUUGAAUAUUAGAUUGAUUCAAUUGUUAUGUGACUUUCUUAGCUUCCCCUUAACCCGAUCCCACGGUGAAAAGGGCCUAAUAUUAACUACUGGCUUGCUAUCCCUAGCCUCCCCUAGUAAUUAAUACCGCAUUAUAAACAGAAGUUAGCGCAAUUGAUCGUCCUACCCCUAUCCCUAGGUGGUAUUGCAAAAUCAAGAGAUUACUCACCAGUUCAUGUCAUUACUGCACGUCCCCAUGUGAAUAACGACAAACAACAAUAUACCGAAUGAGUUAAACGGUAAAGGCCUUAAGCACAGAUGAUAACCCAACAAUAAUCAAUCAAAACAUAUGGAGACCAUAUAAAUAAUCAAUAGUUUCAAUAAGAGAGAGUAUCAAGAGAUUACAUUGAAUUCCCC